CGUGUAGGCGGGCCGUUAAGUUGGGGGUGAAAUCCCGAGGCUCAACCUCGGAACUGCCUUCAAAACUGGCGGCCUGGAGGAGAAGAGAGGCAAGUGGAAUUGCGAGUGUAGAGGUGAAAUUCGUAGAUAUUCGCAGGAACACCAGUGGCGAAGGCGACUUGCUGGCUUCUUUCUGACGCUGAGACGCGAAAGCGUGGGGAGCAAACA
rnacentral:rRNA from 1 species